GACGAACGCUUGCGACGUGCCUGAGAAAUGCAAGUCGAGCGGUGUGGAGGAUUUCGGUCUUUCACAUAGCGGCGAACGGUCGAGUAACACGUAACCAACCUGCCCUAAGGUCUGGGAUAGCCCUCCGAAAGGGGGAGUAAUACCGGAUGGUCUCAUGCGGCGACAUCGCUGAAUGAGUAAAGCUUUAGUGCCCUAGGAGGGGGUUGCGGCCUAUCAGCUGGUUGGUGAGGUAACGGCUCACCAAGGCGACGACGGGUAGCUGGUCUGAGAGGAUGGUCAGCCGGAUUGGGACUGAGACACGGCCCAAACUCCUACGGGGGGCAGCAAUCAGGAAUCUUGCGCAAUGGGGGAAACCCUGACGCAGCGACGUCGCGUGAAGGACGAAGGCCUUCGGGUUGUAAACUUCUUUUGUAAGGGACGAGCAAGGACGGUACCUUACGAAUAAGCCCCGGCUAACUCCGUGCCAGCAGCCGCGGUAAUACGGAGGGGGCGAGCGUUGUCCGAAUUUAUUGGGCGUAAAGCGCGUGUAGGCGGACAAUCAAGCCUGGGGUGAAAGCCCAAAGCUCAACUUUGGAAUGGCCCUGGGGACUGGUUGUCUGGAGGCAGGCAGAGGAGUGUGGAAUUCCCGGUGUAGCGGUGGAAUGCGUAGAGAUCGGGAAGAACACCCGUGGCGAAGGCGGCACUCUGGGCCUGAACUGACGCUGAGACGCGAAAGCGCGGGGAGCGAACGGGAUUAGAUACCCCGGUAGUCCGCGCCGUAAACGAUGGAUGCUCGGUGUUGGGGGUAUCGACCCCCUCAGCGCCUUAGGUAACCCGGUAAGCAUCCCGCCUGGGGAGUACGGCCGCAAGGUUG
rnacentral:rRNA from 1 species